ACUCCUACGGAAGGCAGCAGUGAGGAAUAUUGGACAAUGGAGGAAACUCUGAUCCAGAGACACCGCGUGAGUGAUGAAGGCCCGCGAGGGUUGUAAAGCUCUUUUGGCAAAUGAAAUAAUGAUAUGGUUUGCAGAAAAAAAGUACCGGCUAACUCUGUGCCAGCAGCCGCGGUAAU
rnacentral:rRNA from 1 species